rnacentral:rRNA from 1 species
UACGGAGGGUGCAAACGUUGCUCGGAAUCAUUGGGCGUAAAGCGCACGUAGGCGGUCCGGCAAGUCGGGUGUGAAAGCCCUCGGCUUAACCGAGGAAGUGCAUUCGAAACUACCGGACUUGAAUACUGGAGAGGGUCGCGGAAUUCCCGGUGUAGAGGUGAAAUUCGUAGAUAUUCGGAAGAACACCAGUGGCGAAGGCGACACACUGGCUCACUACUGACGCUGAGGCGCGAAAGCGUGGGGAGCAAACAGG